UACGUAGGGCGCAAGCGUUGUCCGGAAUUAUUGGGCGUAAAGAGCUCGUAGGCGGUUUGUCGCGUCUGCUGUGAAAUCCCGAGGCUCAACCUCGGGCUUGCAGUGGGUACGGGCAGACUAGAGUGCGGUAGGGGAGACUGGAAUUCCUGGUGUAGCGGUGAAAUGCGCAGAUAUCAGGAGGAACACCGGUGGCGAAGGCGGGUCUCUGGCCCGAUAACUGACGCUGGAAGGCAACGAAAGCGUGGGGAGCAAACAGG
rnacentral:rRNA from 1 species